rnacentral:rRNA from 1 species
AUUGAACGCUGGCGGCAGGCCUAACACAUGCAAGUCGAGCGAGAGUCGGCCGGGUGAGUUAUGUCUGGGAAACUGCCUGAUGGAGGGGGAUAACUCCUGGAAACGGUAGCUAAUACCGCAUAUCCUCAGAUGUGCCCCGAUGGGCUUAGCUAGUAGGUGGGGUAACGGCUCACCUAGGGGACGAUCCCUAGCUGGUCUGAGAGGAUGACCAGCAAAACUGGAACUGAGACACGGGCCAGACUCCUAGGGGAGGCAGCAGUGGGGAAUAUUGCACAAUGGGGGCAAGCAUGAUGCAGCCAGGCCGCGUGUGUGAAGAAGGCCUUCGGGUUGUAAAGCACUUUCAGCGGGGAGGCGUUACCCGCAGAAGAAGCACCGGCUAACUCCGUGCCAGCAGCCGCGGUAAUUC